rnacentral:rRNA from 1 species
AAAUUGAAGAGUUUGAUCAUGGCUCAGAUUGAACGCUGGCGGCAGGCCUAACACAUGCAAGUCGAGCGGUAGCACAGAGAGCUUGCUCUCGGGUGACGAGCGGCGGACGGGUGAGUAAUGUCUGGGAAACUGCCUGAUGGAGGGGGAUAUCUACUGGAAACGGUAGCUAAUACCGCAUAAUGUCGCAAGACCAAAGUGGGGGACCUUCGGGCCUCAUGCCAUCAGAUGUGCCCAGAUGGGAUUAGCUAGUAGGUGGGGUAACGGCUCACCUAGGCGACGAUCCCUAGCUGGUCUGAGAGGAUGACCAGCCACACUGGAACUGAGACACGGUCCAGACUCCUACGGGAGGCAGCAGUGGGGAAUAUUGCACAAUGGGCGCAAGCCUGAUGCAGCCAUGCCGCGUGUGUGAAGAAGGCCUUCGGGUUGUAAAGCACUUUCAGCGGGGAGGAAGGCGUUAAGGUUAAUAACCUUGUCGAUUGACGUUACCCGCAGAAGAAGCACCGGCUAACUCCGUGCCAGCAGCCGCGGUAAUACGGAGGGUGCAAGCGUUAAUCGGAAUUACUGGGCGUAAAGCGCACGCAGGCGGUCUGUCAAGUCGGAUGUGAAAUCCCCGGGCUCAACCUGGGAACUGCAUUCGAAACUGGCAGGCUAGAGUCUUGUAGAGGGGGGUAGAAUUCCAGGUGUAGCGGUGAAAUGCGUAGAGAUCUGGAGGAAUACCGGUGGCGAAGGCGGCCCCCUGGACAAAGACUGACGCUCAGGUGCGAAAGCGUGGGGAGCAAACAGGAUUAGAUACCCUGGUAGUCCACGCCGUAAACGAUGUCGAUUUGGAGGUUGUGCCCUUGAGGCGUGGCUUCCGGAGCUAACGCGUUAAAUCGACCGCCUGGGGAGUACGGCCGCAAGGUUAAAACUCAAAUGAAUUGACGGGGGCCCGCACAAGCGGUGGAGCAUGUGGUUUAAUUCGAUGCAACGCGAAGAACCUUACCUGGUCUUGACAUCCACAGAACUUUCCAGAGAUGGAUUGGUGCCUUCGGGAACUGUGAGACAGGUGCUGCAUGGCUGUCGUCAGCUCGUGUUGUGAAAUGUUGGGUUAAGUCCCGCAACGAGCGCAACCCUUAUCCUUUGUUGCCAGCGGUUAGGCCGGGAACUCAAAGGAGACUGCCAGUGAUAAACUGGAGGAAGGUGGGGAUGACGUCAAGUCAUCAUGGCCCUUACGACCAGGGCUACACACGUGCUACAAUGGCAUAUACAAAGAGAAGCGACCUCGCGAGAGCAAGCGGACCUCAUAAAGUAUGUCGUAGUCCGGAUUGGAGUCUGCAACUCGACUCCAUGAAGUCGGAAUCGCUAGUAAUCGUAGAUCAGAAUGCUACGGUGAAUACGUUCCCGGGCCUUGUACACACCGCCCGUCACACCAUGGGAGUGGGUUGCAAAAGAAGUAGGUAGCUUAACCUUCGGGAGGGCGCUUACCACUUUGUGAUUCAUGACUGGGGUGAAGUCGUAACAAGGUAACCGUAGGGGAACCUGCGGUUGGAUCACCUCCUUACCUUAAAGAA